CGGCAUAGGACAAGGAUCAGGAAACGGUCAAAACGGCGGACAAGGAUCAGGCGCUGGUCAAGGCAGCGGCACAGGACAAGGAUCAGGAAACGGUCAAAACGGCGGACAAGGAUCAGGCGCUGGUCAAGGCAGCGGCAUAGGACAAGGAUCAGGAAACGGUCAUGGUUGUGCAAAAUUUAGAGAAUAUGGCCAUUACCAAGGUUAUGGACAAGGGUAUAAAGUAGGAUAUGAACAAGGUUUCGAGCAGGGAUAUCAAACAGCCAUCUACGAAUUAGCUCAAAAUUACCAUUGCGAUUAUCAUUACAAUUCCCAACAUAGUUACGCCUACUAGAUUCUACCAAAUUCACCGCUUGCAAGCUGCGAGCCAGUUAUGUUGUAAUAAAAAAUUGUCAUUGCUUUUUCUUUAAAUUUGUUAUCUUGAAAUUUUAAUAAAUGAUUUGUCAUUA